AGCUCCAGUAGCGUAUAUUAAAGUUGUUGCAGUUAAAAAGCUCGUAGUUGGAUUUCUGGCUUGACGCGUCUGACCCGCCACAGUUAUGUGUGUGAGUGUCGGUGCUCGUCUGCCAUCCUUCUGGAAAACGUGUCUACCCUUCAUUGGGCCGGGCGCGCGAUCCAGAUCUUUUACUUUGAAGAAAUUAGAGUGUUCAAAGCAGGCUUGCGCUAUGAAUACAUUAGCAUGGAAUAAUAAUCUAGGACUCCGGUUCUAUUUUGUUGGUUUCUAGGACUGAAGUAAUGAUUGAUAGGGAUAGUUGGGGGUGCUAGUAUUCAGCGGCCAGAGGUGAAAUUCUCGGAUUCGCUGAAGACUAACUUAUGCGAAAGCAUUCACCAAGGAUGUCUUCUUUAAUCAAGAA
rnacentral:rRNA from 1 species